AAUCAACGCUGGCGGCGUGCCUAACACAUGCAAGUCGAACGAGAAAGUGGAGCAAUCCAUGAGUAAAGUGGCGCACGGGUGAGUAACACGUGACUAACCUACCCAGGAGUGGGGAAUAACUGAGGGAAACCUUAGCUAAUACCGCAUAACACCUACGGGUCAAAGGAGCAAUUCGCUUCUGGAGGGGGUCGCGGCCGAUUAGUUAGUUGGCAGGGGUAAUGGCCUACCAAGACGAUGANCGGUAUCCGGCCUGAGAGGGCGCACGGACACACUGGAACUGAAACACGGUCCAGACUCCUACGGGAGGCAGCAGUGGGGAAUUUUGCGCAAUGGGGGAAACCCUGACGCAGCAACGCCGCGUGGAGGAUGAAGUCCU
rnacentral:rRNA from 1 species